rnacentral:rRNA from 2 species
UUUAAACUUCUACACCUAAACUUAUAUCUUAAUCCAACAUCGAGGUCGCAAUCAAUUUUAUCAAUAAGAACUCUCCAAAAUUAUUACGCUGUUAUCCCUAAAGUAACUUAUUUUAUUAAUCAUUAAUAAUGGAUCAUUUAAAUCAUAAAUUUAUGAAAUAUUUAAUAUUAAAAGUUAUAUAAAUUUUAAUAUCACCCCAAUAAAAUAAAUUUUAUAUUAAUACAUAAUUUAUAAUAAAAGUAUAUUAAUAUUUAUAUUAUAAAGAUUUAUAGGGUCUUCUCGUCUUUUAAUAUAAUUUUAGCUUUUUGACUAAAAAAUAAAAUUCAAAUAUAAAUUUUAAAUGAAACAGUUAAUAUUUCAUUCAACCAUUCAUUCCAGCUUUCAAUUAAAAAACUAAUGAUUAUGCUACCUUUGCACAGUCAAUAUACUGCGGCCAUUUAAUUUAUCAGUGGGCAGGUUAGACUUUAAAUAAAAUUUCUCAAAAAGACAUGUUUUU